rnacentral:rRNA from 1 species
UACGGGGGGUGCGAGCGUUGUCCGGAAUCACUGGGCGUAAAGGGCGCGUAGGUGGUUUGAUAAGGGUGUGGUGAAAGUCCGGGGCUCAACCCCGGAUCUGCCGUGCCGACUGUCAAACUCGAGGGCUGUAGAGGCAGACGGAAUUCCGGGUGUAGCGGUGGAAUGCGUAGAGAUCCGGAGGAAGACCGGUGGCGAAGGCGGUCUGCUGGGCAGUUGCUGACGCUGAUGCGCGACAGCGUGGGGAGCAAACAGG